rnacentral:rRNA from 1 species
CAUAGGUUAAUGAGGCGAACCGGGGGAACUGAAACAUCUAAGUACCCCGAGGAAAAGAAAUCAACCGAGAUUCCCCCAGUAGCGGCGAGCGAACGGGGAGCAGCCCAGAGCCUGAAUCAGUGUGUGUGUUAGUGGAAGCGUCUGGAAAGGCGCGCGAUACAGGGUGACAGCCCCGUACACAAAAAUGCACAUACUGUGAGCUCGAUGAGUAGGGCGGGACACGUGGUAUCCUGUCUGAAUAUGGGGGGACCAUCCUCCAAGGCUAAAUACUCCUGACUGACCGAUAGUGAACCAGUACCGUGAGGGAAAGGCGAAAAGAACCCCGGCGAGGGGAGUGAAAAAGAACCUGAAACCGUGUACGUACAAGCAGUGGGAGCACGCUUAGGCGUGUGACUGCGUACCUUUUGUAUAAUGGGUCAGCGACUUAUAUUCUGUAGCAAGGUUAACCGAAUAGGGGAGCCGAAGGGAAACCGAGUCUUAACUGGGCGUUAAGUUGCAGGGUAUAGACCCGAAACCCGGUGAUCUAGCCAUGGGCAGGUUGAAGGUUGGGUAACACUAACUGGAGGACCGAACCGACUAAUGUUGAAAAAUUAGCGGAUGACUUGUGGCUGGGGGUGAAAGGCCAAUCAAACCGGGAGAUAGCUGGUUCUCCCCGAAAGCUAUUUAGGUAGCGCCUCGUGAAUUCAUCUCCGGGGGUAGAGCACUGUUUCGGCAAGGGGGUCAUCCCGACUUACCAACCCGAUGCAAACUGCGAAUACCGGAGAAUGUUAUCACGGGAGACACACGGCGGGUGCUAACGUCCGUCGUGAAGAGGGAAACAACCCAGACCGCCAGCUAAGGUCCCAAAGUCAUGGUUAAGUGGGAAACGAUGUGGGAAGGCCCAGACAGCCAGGAUGUUGGCUUAGAAGCAGCCAUCAUUUAAAGAAAGCGUAAUAGCUCACUGGUCGAGU